rnacentral:rRNA from 1 species
AACGCUGGCGGCAGGCUUAACACAUGCAAGUCGAACGGUAACAGAACUAGCUUGCUAGUUGCUGACGAGUGGCGGACGGGUGAGUAACGCGUAGGAAUCUACCGAGUAGUGGGGGACAACAGUUGGAAACGACUGCUAAUACCGCAUAAUCCCUGAGGGGGAAAGGAGGGGAUCUGUUUACAGACCUUUCGCUAUUUGAUGAGCCUGCGUGAGAUUAGCUAGUUGGUGAGGUAAUGGCUCACCAAGGCGACGAUCUCUAGCUGGUCUGAGAGGAUGAUCAGCCACACUGGAACUGAGACACGGUCCAGACUCCUACGGGAGGCAGCAGUGGGGAAUAUUGCACAAUGGAGGAAACUCUGAUGCAGCGAUGCCGCGUGAGUGAAGAAGGCCUUUGGGUUGUAAAGCUCUUUCGUCGGGGAAGAAAAUGACUGUACCCGAAUAAGAAGGUCCGGCUAACU